CUGAAAACUACUGGCAUACGAUACCGGCAGCAUCACCGGGUUGCAGAUUGUUGACAAUGACCAAGUACUGCUCACCUCGUCUAUAGACUGCACUGUGCGCCUGUGGAGUACCUGCAGAGUGUUCAUAGUUCGACUUGCCCAGCAAGCUUAGACACCCUCCACUGUCCAUCAGCGACAUAGACAUCAAGGAAGAGAUUAAAACCUCUUGUUACACAGAAGAACAUGGGAAACGACCGCGACAUUAAAUAUUCAAGCAUACUAACAAGCCACCCAAUCAUGGCGGACCCAAGACCUACCACACUCUCAAGUACUUUGAUAUCAUCGACGCGCCAACCACCUGCGAGAGGCCCAAUCUUUCCCUGGCUGGCAUCGAUCCUUUCAUAUCAAGCUUUGUGGAACAGGAGUCGGCUAAAUGCCAAUAAGAUUGCAUAAUUGCGACAGGAACGCAAACUGUGACCAUAGGUCCUCUGCACCAUGAACUCCACAUGCUUCAAGGACAGAGGAGUUAGAACACCAUCGCAAGUAAUCAGAAGAGCUGAAAUGUGAGCUGUUGCACAACUUUAGAGAUUUGCAUAGUCCUGGAUUGGAUUGUUUAGGGGAGACUGGGGUUGGUUGUCACACUUUUUACUAAUUUGUGUAUUUCUCAGCACCAGUAUAUCUUACAAUACUAUUUUUAAUAUUAAGAGAAAGACCAAUAUCUUGGGUUGAAAUGGGGACCCGUUUUAUCAUAUUCCAACAUGGAGUUAUAAGCCAUCAAACACACUCUGUCCACUUGUGACAAGCAGCCCCAUCCCGGUUGUCACACAGUAUGGGGUUGGUUGUCACAGUGUUUGCCAUUUGUUUUUCAGCAACAACUUAACCAAUUUACAAAGUUUUAGAAAAAGUAAAGCCUUUAAUUAUUGAACAGUAUUUCUGUCUAACAUAAUA